rnacentral:lncRNA from 1 species
UUUGAGAAAGCAUGUUAUUGUACUUACUGCAUGCUUACAGCACUUGUUGGCUUCAUUCAAGUGCUCUGUGCUCUCUUAACACAGGAGAAGCCCAGGGAGGUGACUGAAAUGGCUACUAACACAGUUCAUGAGAGAGGAAGCAGCCUAAGAAUGAGAGGAAGAAAUAUAUCACCCCAUCUCUGUGGCUACCCCAGCCUUUCCUCUGGGCAUCUAAAGGUCAGAUUCGGUGUUGGACAGCAGCCUGGCUCCGAGCCCCUGGAGUAAACGCACAGCCCUGAGAUGGAGAAGCUUGAUGUCCCGGGACGCCAUUGUGCGCGGUGAUUAAAUGUGUGGUGUGUAAUUGUAGCACGGUGAGAAGUGUUUGUGCAGCGGGUGCAGAUGGGAUGAGCCGGAGGCUUCCUGUGGAGUCUGCGGGGACUGAGGCGGAUGUGUUCGUGCCAAAAGAGUAGAUGUUCCACAAAAUAUCCUGGUCACUACAUUAGGGGAAGGGGGAGAGACAAAAUAAGGCUCAAGUACAGUCUGCAUAUACUGAAGAGAACAGUUUAAGAAUGGAAAGUAUUUUUUUUGUUUGUUCUUCAAAUACAAAUACAGAAGGGUAGCCUUGUAGAUGUUGAGAAUAGUUUAGCUUAGCUCAUUCAACA